UCUCCACCCUUUCAAUGCAAUCGGACAAACAAGACAACCAGUUCUCCAGCAUAAAAGCCGGCUGGGUGGCCUGCCGAGUCCGCCGGAUACAAGCGACGCAGCUCAUUGCUCCACGUCCUGCGCCAAGCUCGAUGGAGCGAGGUGCCGCCAAGCCGGUGCUUGGUUCAGCAACUCGCCACUCCAAGUUAGCUCGAGAAGGAGUGAUGGGUCACUCCAGGCCGACAGGGCGGGGAGUAGGGCGGCCCGAGCAUUGUCGAUGUCGUCAAAGGCGUCGCGUCGUAUCGCGACUCCUGUGCCCACAGUCAACGCGUGCGUGACCAGAACUUCCUGAUAGAGAAAGAAGCCAGUUGCACGAAGAUCGAUGAUUCGGUGGCCGACAUGUCAGAGUCCGCUGCUAACAUCGAGAGAAAUUGGAACAUGGGAGGCCAUCACGGCUUGUAUCACAUGCCGGGCACUGUCGGUGCGCCGUCGCUUGUAGAUCCGAUGAUCUACCCGGUUCUCUAUCUUAGACCAAUGGCGCCCUGGUCUGGGCUCCACGGAAGCGGAGGAUCCCUCUUCCCCUCUGGCUGAAGCAUCCAGCGGUUCCCUUCCAAUGAGCGGUGGAAUUGGAGUGUAUCUGUGUCGUGGGAGUGGAGCUCCAUGGACCGUACGUGCACAUAGUGUUAUCUUUUAGUAAAAAUA
rnacentral:lncRNA from 1 species